rnacentral:misc_RNA from 1 species
GAUGAAGAACGUAGCGAAAUGCGAUAAGUAAUGUGAAUUGCAGAAUUCCGUGAAUCAUCGAAUCUUUGAACGCACAUUGCGCCCGCCAGUAUUCUGGCGGGCAUGCCUGUUCGAGCGUCAUUACAACCCUCAGGCCCCCGGGCCUGGCGUUGGGGAUCGGCGGAGCCCCCCGUGGGCACACGCCGUCCCCCAAAUGCAGUGGCGGUCCCGCCGCAGCUUCCAUCGCGUAGUAGCUAACACCUCGCGACUGGAGAGCGGCGCGGCCACGCCGUAAAACACCCAACUCUUCUGAAGUUGACCUCGAAUCAGGUAGGAAUACCCGCUGAACUUAAGCAUAUCAAUAAGCGGAGGA